rnacentral:misc_RNA from 1 species
AAAAAAAAAAAAAAAAAACACCAGACUAGCACAAAGAAACAACAAUGAAAACAAGCUAACCAACCAACUGAAAUGAAACAAACAACAGUUCUAAACUCUCAGCAAGCUACAAAAACUAGAAGAAACAAAUUAAAACAAAUGGAUGAGGCAAGAAAGAGCAACUAGCAGUCAAGCAAAAGCCUAGAAGAUUCUGUAAGUUUCUGACAACCAUGACUAAUGAAUCCACAUAAGCUCUUCUUUCCUGCAAACCAAAGAAUUAGUAAUCUCUGCUCUGCUUUCUCAUCUUAAUUUCAACAUUCAACUUUCAUAUUUUUUUAAAAAACUUUAGAAUCUUCAGGCAAGGAGUAUCAAUCCGUCAACACAACCAAGCAUAGUUUUAUAGAGAAAAAUAAAUUAAACACAUUGUGGAGACCAGACAGUGGUUUAAAAUGGAAAAUGUGAGUCUUCUAAUUCUGAGGUUUUAUAGUUGGGACCUGGACAAGAAUUGAAGGGAAUGGAAAGGAAAAUGCACAGGAAAAGAAGCCAAACAAGAUACGCCCGUAGUAUUGACAUUUGAAGUAGAGGAUGCAACAAAUAACAAAUUCAAAUUCCAAGUAAAACGCAAAAAUCUCACUACGAUCCGAAACGCAAAUUUUAUAAAAUUUCCAUCAAAAUCUGCAAAUUUUACAUAGAAAUGCAUAAGGAAAGCGAAAGCGGAGCUAACCUGC